rnacentral:rRNA from 1 species
CCUACGGGCGGCAGCAGUGAGGAAUAUUGGUCAAUGGGCGGAAGCCUGAACCAGCCAAGUAGCGUGCAGGAUGACGGCCCUGCGGGUUGUAAACUGCUUUUAUACGGGAAUAACGCGCCUUACGUGUAGGGCUUUGCAUGUACCGUAUGAAUAAGCACCGGCUAAUUCCGUGCCAGCAGCCGCGGUAAUACGGAGGAUGCGAGCGUUAUCCGGAAUGACUGGGCGUAAAGGGUGCGUAGGUGGUUUGGCAAGUUAGUAGCGUAACUCCAAGGCUCAACCUUGGAACUACUACUAAAACUGUUAGACUGGAGUGCAGGAGAGGCAAGCGGAAUUCCUAGGGUAGCGGUGGAAUGCGUAGAUAUUAGGAGGAACACCAGUGGCGAAGGCGGGUUGCUAGACUGUAACUGACACUGAGGCACGAAAGCGUGGGGAGCAAACAGGAUUAGAUACCCUGGUAGUC